GAUGAAGAACGCAGCGAAAUGCGAUAAGUAAUGUGAAUUGCAGAAUUCAGUGAAUCAUCGAAUCUUUGAACGCACAUUGCGCCCCUUGGUAUUCCGGGGGGCAUGCCUGUUCGAGCGUCAUUAUAACCCCUCAAGCUCAGCUUGGUGUUGGGGCCUGCCAACUGGCAGCCCUUAAAAUCAGUGGCGGCGCCAUCUGGCUCUAAGCGUAGUACUUUCUCUCGCUAUAGGGUCCCGGUGGAUGCUUGCCAACAACCCCCAAUUUUCUAUGGUUGACCUCGGAUCAGGUAGGGAUACCCGCUGAACUUAAGCAUAUCAAUAAGCGGAGGA
rnacentral:misc_RNA from 1 species